GGCUCCUCUGGCACCACCUACAGCCUGUAGUCUGAUUUUGCAAAAAUCAACCGCUCCGUGUUCAGAUCCUCCUAUGAGGGCCAGGGGGGGUGUCUAACUUUGUGUAAAUCACUGCUCAUGUACACGCAUUCAUUCUCCCUUAUGGGGGGAGGGGCUUAGGAGACAGUUGUGGGUUUUAGCAGAAAGCGUGGGAGGGACUGAGAAGUUGUCGAUGUUCAAAUAUUUUUCGGCUGAAUGCUGA